rnacentral:rRNA from 1 species
GAUGAACGCUGGCGGCGUGCCUAAUACAUGCAAGUCGAGCGAACAGACGUGUUUCUUGCUCCUCUGACGUUAGCGGCGGACGGGUGAGUAACACUUGGAUAACCUCCCUAUAAGACUGGGAUAACUUCUGGAAACCGGAGCUAAUACCGGAUAAUAUAUUCAACCGCAUGGUUCAAUAGUGUAUGAUUGUUUUGCUGUCACUUAUAUAUCGUUCCGCGCCGCAUUAGCUAAUUGGUAAGGUAACGGCUUACCAAGGCAACGAUGCGUAGCCGACCUAAGAGAGGGAUAGGAGACACUGGAACAGAGAGACGGGCCAGACUGGGACGGGAGGAAGGAGUAGGGAAUCAUCGGAGAUGGGAGAAAGGAAGACGGAGCAACGCGGGAUAAGCGAUGAAGGUAAUGGGAUCGUAAAACAGUGUUAUUAGGGAAGAACAAAUGUGUAAGCAACAAUGCAAGUAUUGACGGUACCUAAUCAGAAAGCAACGGCUAACUACGUG